UUAUCGAUUUAACCAAAGAUUUCCAAGACGGAUGUUAUCUUCAAUGAUCCAAAGGAUACAUGCUCAAAUAUUAUAAAGAGAAAACGUCAAAAACUCAGGUAUACAAAAGAAAUUAAAAAUUGUAUUCGCUUAGUUAAUAUCAUCUAUCAUAUAUAGACCCUCCGCUCGGGGGAUUCGUCGAAAUAUUAAAAAGACCCUUGGGAAAUAUCAUCACUUUGGGUACUAUUCCGCCGAAUAAAAAGAACUGUAUAAAAAAA